UACAGAGGGUGCAAGCGUUGUUCGGAAUUAUUGGGCGUAAAGGGCGCGUAGGCGGUGCGGUAAGUCUGUAGUGAAAUCUCUGGGCUCAACUCAGAGUCUGCUGCGGAAACUGCCGUGCUUGAGUGUGGGAGAGGUGAGUGGAAUUCCUGGUGUAGCGGUGAAAUGCGUAGAUAUCAGGAGGAACACCUGUGGCGAAAGCGGCUCACUGGACCAUAACUGACGCUGAUGCACGAAAGCUAGGGGAGCAAACAGG
rnacentral:rRNA from 1 species